GGGGAAUAUUGCGCAAUGGGGGGAACCCUGACGCAGCCAUGCCGCGUGAAUGAAGAAGGCCUUCGGGUUGUAAAGUUCUUUCGGUAUUGAGGAAGGUUGAUGUGUUAAUAGUACAUCAAAUUGACGUUAAAUACAGAAGAAGCACCGGCUAACUCCGUGCCAGCAGCCGCGGUAAUACGGAGGGUGCGAGCGUUAAUCGGAAUAACUGGGCGUAAAGGGCACGCAGGCGGUUAUUUAAGUGAGGUGUGAAAGCCCUGGGCUUAACCUAGGAAUUGCAUUUCAGACUGGGUAACUAGAGUACUUUAGGGAGGGGUAGAAUUCCACGUGUAGCGGUGAAAUGCGUAGAGAUGUGGAGGAAUACCGAAGGCGAAGGCAGCCCCUUGGGAAUGUACUGACGCUCAUGUGCGAAAGCGUGGGGAGCAAACAGGAUUAGAUACCCUGGUAGUCCACGCUGUAAACGCUGUCGAUUUGGGGGUUGGGGUUUAACUCUGGCGCCCGUAGCUAACGUGAUAAAUCGACCGCCUGGGGAGUACGGCCGCAAGGUUA
rnacentral:rRNA from 1 species